GCGCGGGUGGAGAAAUUGGUAAACUCGCUACCUUGAGGUGGUAGUGCUUAACGGCUUGCGGGUUCGAGUCCCGCCUCGCGCACAA
rnacentral:tRNA from 1 species